rnacentral:rRNA from 1 species
UACGAAGGGGGCUAGCGUUGCUCGGAAUCACUGGGCGUAAAGGGUGCGUAGGCGGGUCUUUAAGUCAGAGGUGAAAUCCUGGAGCUCAACUCCAGAACUGCCUUUGAUACUGAGGAUCUUGAGUCCGGGAGAGGUGAGUGGAACUGCGAGUGUAGAGGUGAAAUUCGUAGAUAUUCGCAAGAACACCAGUGGCGAAGGCGGACUCACUGGCCCGGUACUGACGCUGAGGUGCGAAAGCGUGGGG